UGGUAUCUCCGUAAGGUCAUUUGCUGUGGUCGAUAACAACAACGGCAGCUGAAAGACCUCCCCCGACCAGUAGCCUUCUCCCAAUCAGUCUGACCGCAGCGGGGAAAACCCAGAAGAUCUCCAACGUGACAGGCGGUCCUGGUGCUCCUCAGACUGGACUUGGGUGAGGCGUCAAAAAUUAGAUCUGAAAAGAUUUAUUGUAAGUAAAGUCAAGAGAAAUCGAAGAAACAAAAGCUGAACAGCCUGUUGGCAUAUUGUCAACAUCGGCAUGAAAGCUCAGGAAAGAAGGCAUCUGAUGGAACCUUGCGCGCUGAAUUACUUGCCAUUUCCUCAGCCGUGGGCAGAGGAAAAGAGAUAAAAAUUGGCCAUUCACCAUGCCCUUCCCUGCAGACAGCUGAUACCCAUAAUCCCUGGGGAGCAGAAAAUAAGGGCAAAGAGGCUAAAUAUAGAGUAGCUGCACCACCCCAGGGCUUGGGGGUCUUACUGUUAUCACGACGCACGUUCAGCAUGGGGCGGUUGUAGUUUUUCUGGAAGGAUUUCAGAAUUUCACAGUCCCCUGCAUCUCUAUCUCCGCAUCUUCAAAAGCACCCAGAAGAGCCAGCGCACAAAUGUUCCAGUUUUAUCAUCUACACAAGAGAUAACCAAUCAGAUUGAAGAGGGGGUGGAUCCAAGCAACUAGAGGAGGCGGGACCAAACAAUCAGAUGAUCAAAUCCCAUGCGCCAUAUGUAGAGAUUUCUCUAGCAUCUCCGGACCCGAGCUUGUGACGCACCAGCUGUCUGCCGUCUCUGCUCUCAUCCCAUGCUAAGGAAGAAGGAUGAAGAUAACCAUGAAGAGAUACAACAUGGUGAGAGAGAAAUGGAGCCUGAGGCAGAAAACCUUUCACAGACACCCAUAAUCCAGGAAUAUUGACCUGUAAAUCAUGAGCACUAUGCAAAUUUGUCUCUCUUCGCCACAUAUGCUUUUGUUGCCUCUGUGAAUGACCAAUGUAAUGUUUUAACUUAUUUCCAUUUAUUUAGCAGAUGCUUUUAUCCAAAGCGAUGUGCAAUUGAAAGAGCAGAUAGUCCCUGGAGAAACUGGGUUUAAGGGCCUUACUUUAGGGCUUAAUGGUAAAAACACUCUGCCAGUCCUGGGAUUUGAACUAGUGACCUUCUGACACGGAGUGCCAACCUGCAGUGCCGCACACAAUUAGCGUUGUGGCUGCACCUUUCGCAGUAAUCGGGACGAUUUGUGGGGCUUCCCCUCUAUGGACGUCUGAUGUUGUGGUUCUUCUGAAGUUGAACUUGCCCCCUCCUUGGUAGCCAUAGUAACGGAUCGCUCCAAGCACCCCUCUCCAGCCCUGCAAACCCUCACUUGCACGCCCCUAUCUCUCCACUUCAGGGAGGAGGGGGGGGGGGGGGGUUAAUCUGCCACUCACUCAUCCACCAGGGAGCCCCUCCCUCGGAGCUCCUUUGACCUGUUGAUCCACGGGUCUUCCACCCAUAAAGGCACCACUUGUUCUGCUGUGAUUGUUGUGAUAGCUUUUUCCACACCAAGCAGAUCAUUGCCAAACCUCACUUUACUUAAACAAUUCAUGACCAAAAAGGUGCCAUUACAUCACCAAAUCCCCACCCCAGAUGUAAUUUCACAUUAUUUUAGUAAGUGCAAAGCUGAGCCCCUCCCAUCUUCCCAGAACCACUCUAGACUCCAGACCAAGGGCAUCUAAUUAUACCCAAAGGCCAGGUAGCUUCCAUUAAGUUCCACUGGGUACGGAGGUAGGGUGGUUAUCUGAUCUCAUUUUUUUGGGAAAUUUUCUUUGCUGCAUCAUUUAUUCAUUUUGUCGACAGAGGAACUGAUUGUGCUGAAAUUUGAACGCCUGCCGGCCGUCUCCUUCCAAUCGGACCACCCUCUGACCUUGAUUGAUCAUGUCUUGCCAUGCACCCUGUUUCCCCUGGAGGCAUACACAACUACCCCCCCCCUCCCCCCCCACUGCCUUGCCGGGACUGAAUUAUUCAGCUCAGGUGUUUGUAAAUGACAACAAGCGAAUAAAACCCUGAUGUCUGCAGAUUAUUUCUUUUUCUUUAGUGCGAACCAUGUAUUUUAAGAAGAUGGCCUAAUGCUUUCGAAAUAGACAAUUUUGGCAGGAGCCGAGGUACGUAAGGUUAAACUGGACGUUUUCCUAGCCACGAGCAGGGAGGCGCCCCCUGGAGUUCAUUUUUGGAUAACAUCCAGUCACAUCAUCCUUUCAGAUUUUCACAUGAAUUUUGUGUUAGUUAGCAAGACAUUAGGAGCAUAGGAGUAUGACUGGUUGGUUUCAUGUCCUUUAGUGACUUGGUGUUCAUGUGACCAGUAGUAAACUGGAAUGGGCUCAGACCUCUAAGCAGAGAAAAGUCUGCUGUUCUGUUGUAUGUAGUUUCUAAGAUAUGGAUCUUUGUUGGAAAGCAACAAACCUUGUAAGUCUGAAAGUAAUCCAAACUUUCUAGGUAUACGUCUAUUAUAUUUUGGUACAUGGUCCAUCAUUCUGGUCAUCACCACCAUUGUCAUGUAUUCUAAAGCCUUAUUUUUCCCUGUAAAUAAAUAUUAUGCUUCUCA